rnacentral:rRNA from 1 species
UACGUAGGUGGCAAGCGUUGUCCGGAAUUACUGGGUGUAAAGCGCGUGUAGGCGGCAGACCAAGUCGGCGGUGAAAGCGCCCGGCUCAACUGGGCGAGGUCCGUGGAAACUGGUCAGCUGGAGGACGGUAGAGGCGAGUGGAAUUCCCGGUGUAGUGGUGAAAUGCGUAGAGAUCGGGAGGAACACCUGUGGCGAAGGCGGCCACCUGGACGGUCACUGACGCUGAGACGCGAAAGCGUGGGGAGCAAACAGG